CCUAUGGGAGGCAGCAGUGAGGCAUAUUGGGCAAUGGGCGGAAGCCUGAACCAGCCAAGUAGCGUGCAGGAUGACGGCCCUACGGGUUGUAAACUGCUUUUAUACGGGAAUAACGCGCCUUACGUGUAGGGCUUUGCAUGUACCGUAUGAAUAAGGACCGGCUAAUUCCUUGCCAGCAGCCGCGGUAAUACGGAAGGUCCGGGCGUUAUACGGCUUUAUUGGGUGUAAAGGGAACGUAGGCCGUAUGUCAAGCUUGAUGUGAAAUGUCAGGGCUCAACUCGGGCCUUGCAGCGCGAACUGGCGUGCUAGAGUCUGCGGAAAGCAGGCAGAAUUCGUGGUGUAGCGGUGAAAUGCUUAGAUAUGACGAAGAAUCCCGAUUGCGAAGGCAGCUUGCUGCAGCGGAACUGACGCUGAUGCUCGAAAGCGCGGGUAUCGAACAGGAUUAGAUACCCGAGUAGUC
rnacentral:rRNA from 1 species